CGAGCAGUCAUAAGGAAGUCUACCUUCUCGUCGAUGACUAGCUCGAUGCUGCAGUUGUGUGUCUAGUUCUUUGACCUGAGGUGCAUCGAUAGUUCACCUUGAGUGUGUUAUAGUUUGACUACACCAUAACUCGGUCUCCUAGCCAUUCGAAACUCUGAGGUGUAUGUUGGCUGUAGCAUAUUCAUUGUAGGAACUAGGUCGCACCAAGAUGGGAUCUAUCACCUCAGUAGAUGAGAGGAGUAGUCCUAUGAUGAUCGAAAGAUCGAGU
rnacentral:lncRNA from 1 species